UUGCUUUAUUCCAGACAAAUCAUUGUCAUACAUGUCAAGUUAUGUAUUAGAUUAUGUUUUAACCUUGAUCCAUCCUGUGUACUUGUACUGUGCUCUAAAGCUGCCUGCGUUCAGCUCAUAUUCUCCAAAAUUGCACUACGGUGAUGUGGAGAAAAAGAGAGUAUACAAAUUGUUGAAUAAAGGCGUUAUUUUUGUCUUCUUUGUGUACAAAAGUAUUCUCAUCGCUUUAUAAAAUUCAGAUUGAACCACAGAUGGCAGAUGGACUAUUCUGAUGACAUCUUUCUUUCUUUUCUGGACUUUGACCGUGUAUUUUACUUGGCAGCAAAUGGGACAGUCACAAGCCUCCCGGUUUUCAUCCAAAAUAUCUUAAAUUGUGUUCCGAAGAGGAACUAAGCUUUUACAGGUUAGGACCGACAUGGGGGCAGGGUGAUUAACCCUUUAACGUGCAUUGUAACCGCACGGUUGACCUUUUUUUGCGAUCAAAUUACUGUAAUUAAAACUCGCCAAACCCCAUUUUUGGCCGUUUGUCCUUAAACCUCUCAUCGAAUAGAGUGUGUAAUGGCAAUUAUAUCCACUGGGUGGCACUGCAGCAAAAAUAUAUUGUUACUGAAAAGCCGCGACAAAACCGUAAUGUAUUAACGUGACGCCUCUCUUCAAACACUAACUGCAAGUAACGUCAAAAAUUGAGAUUAAAACAAUUUAAUCGGAUUUUCUUGUUCUAGACCUCCUAACAGUAAAUUUAGUUAAAUGGCAGAAACAUGAUGAUAAAAUGUAUAUCUGAUUUUACUUUAGAAAAUGUGCUCGACCGCUCAGUUGAGUUGCCCAGUUAGGGUAAAAUGAACUGAAUGCAAGCUAUACUCAGCAAUGCGAUCAUAACUUGGAAUAGCACUGCGCAAGAUCAUAGAUGAAGUUAUUCCUUUGUCUAAACAAAAACCAAUGCUUUGUUGCAUAUCACAGAACAUCAUAUCAAUAAUUUAUUCUAUUAUAUUUAUAUUAUAUUGCAUUGACUUUUGCCUUUUACCUUACAUUUUAUACAGAUUGUCACUAUGUAGAUCCAUUAUUUAUUAUUUGUAAUGUAAUUUAAUUAUUAUUUUGUAUUAUUGUUUUGGUUUGAUGUAUUUGCUUAUUUAUUUUAAAUUAUUAGAUUUCUAUUACAUAUAAUUUUACAUAUAAUUUUUUGUAUAGUGGAUUUAUAUUAUAAUAAGAACAGGUUUAUAUAUAUAUAUAAUUAUAAUAUUAUAUAUAAUUAGGGCUGGACAAUAUAUCGAACGAUAUGAUCAUGCGCAUCUCGUCAGUAAAGCCGGUUCCAUGAUUAGCGGUAAAUCCCCAUCACCUGCUUUCAAAUGGAGCGGCAGUUAAUACACAGAGCCGUAGUUCACUGACAAGCUACGCUAUAUCGAGUUCAUUAUCAAAGGCGAUUCAUCUUCAAUAAUGAACUCGAUAUAGCGUAGCUUCUCAGUGAACUACGGUGAAUGGGUCUUCUGAAAAAAUAAAAACUGAGAAGUUGCUCA
ensembl:lncRNA